rnacentral:rRNA from 1 species
GUGCCAGCAGCCGCGGUAAUACGUAUGUCACAAGCGUUAUCCGGAUUUAUUGGGCGUAAAGCGCGUCUAGGUGGUUAUAUAAGUCUGAUGUGAAAAUGCAGGGCUCAACUCUGUAUUGCGUUGGAAACUGUGUAACUAGAGUACUGGAGAGGUAAGCGGAACUACAAGUGUAGAGGUGAAAUUCGUAGAUAUUUGUAGGAAUGCCGAUGGGGAAGCCAGCUUACUGGACAGAUACUGACGCUGAAGCGCGAAAGCGUGGGUAGCAAACAGGAUUAGAUACCCCAGUAGUCC